CAGCAGCAGCACCAGCGGGCGGUCGCGGCUGACAUCGCGGUGGAUGAAGACCAGGCUGAGCUGCACCAGGGCGCAGGGCAGGAGAGCGAAGAGCAGCGUCAGCCACUGCCACAUGCGGUCCCCCGCCGCCCGCCUUUCUCGGCAGGCUGGAGAAACAGCCUGAAAGGAAGAGGCAAGGGCAAAGCCCCGCAUCUGGGAGAAAAUCGCGAUAAAGGCUGAGAGACAUCUGAUAAGGGCAGAAAAAGAGCUGCGAGUCCUGGCUUUUUUCUUCAGAGGUCCCUGGGAUGACAAAAAAGCCCUGCUGUGACACCCGCUGCUGGCCAGCAGCAUUCGCCUGCCAUCCCUGGGCCUUCCCCUUCAGCAGCAGGAGACAGAAGACCACCCCGUGCCUUUCUCCCU